GAGUUUAUCUCAGGUGAUCUGAGUUUGGGGACACACUGGACAUUUGAAAUGUUUUGAUUGGUCCAAUUUGAAUUAGAUCCUGUGUUUUAUUUUGGCUAAUUUCCACUGUGUGUUCCAACCUUGUGAUUGUUGGAUCGACCACGUUAGUUAAUGAAGUCAGAUCCAACGCUCCGUGUUUUUUCCAAUUUUUAUUUAUUUUUAUUUUUUAUUUUAAAUUUCAUUUUCUUUUAAAAUUCAUAGAAAAUUCAUUUUGCAUCCAAAAAAUACCAAGAUAAUUUCUAAAAUUC
rnacentral:lncRNA from 1 species